AGUGUGUAUGUCUUAUUCAAAUAGUUUUGCAUUGUAGUGUCUACAUAAGGAUUUUCAUAGUGCUUUUUUGUAGCAGUCUGACUUUUGGACAAUUUGAAGGAAACAAGUACAUGAAAGCAGAAGUAAUUAGCUUGAUAAGUAACAUUGGACCAACGAUCUGUACCAAUAAGUGUAAAAGUUUGUACGGGUGUAAUGGUGUUUAUUUUGAUCAACAACUGACUUGUGAGUUAUUACGAAUUAACCCGACCACAGACGACACAUCUGAAAAAGCUGGUUCCAUGUUUGCUGCUAUGUCUUCUUUGGAACCGAUAAAUGCAGCUGCAUGCUGGCCGAAUCCUUGCUCUCAAAACAACAAAUGUAUUGUUUCCAGACAAAAUAAAGCAUUUUGUAUAACUACAGUUGGUGAAUUACUUUUCAUGAAAACCAUAACGUCGACAAAUUACCCUGGGGAGUAUCCUAACUACGAUGUGCAAAAUAGAACGUAACUCCAGACUGGUUCUCAAAUUUAAAGCCUUUGAUCUGGAGACAUGUAACGACAUC